UCAAGUGAAGGGCUUAGCCCUUCACUCAAAUGGCCAGGUGGCCAUUUUAAUUAAAUGGCCGAAUGGCCUUAUCAAAGAGGCAAUGCCUCUUCGUUUCUAUUUUUGGAACAGCAGGGGCUCCUUUUCAAUUUUUUCUCUUUUGGAUUUUCAUAGAAAAUUUACGAUCUGUAAAGAUCCAACGGUCCAAUCUUAGAUCCGAUUUCGGCAACGCAAUCUUUGAAGCCUGAUCUACAUUUUGACCGAACGUUUUGAGAUUUUGUGUGGUUUGGAGUUGCUAGGAGCUUCCCGAGCAUCGGGUCUUGGUGUGGUGAAUUUUUGCGGCAUGUUACGGUUGAGCUUAGAGUCGUUUGGAUAUUGGGAGUACAAGCAAACUGAGAUGAUGUUUGUUUAGCUGCAGGUACUACGGUAUAGUCGAUGGGUCGGUAGUAGUGUGCUUGGGAUAAUAUGACUGAAGCUCACCGCGACGGUUGUAAUUGUCGGACCACGGGCUGUUCACUGUUUUAUAGGUUUGGUAUAGCUUGUGACGUUUGUGUCACAUAUUCUUUGUAAAGUCAUAGUUGUUUUGUAAAUAUUGUGUUAAUAAGACUCAAACAGAUAGAUGUUAAAUGGCUCUUUGUUGUAAUUAAUUUGUGAUAGAUGUAUAAGUUGUAAUUUCCGCUAUUCAGAUUUAUGUUUUCCGCUGCAUAGAUAGAUGUAUGUUAUACUCUGAUUAUCAUGUACAUGUUAUGGG